AGUGAACGCUGGCGGUAGGCCUAACACGUGCAAGUCGAACGGCAGCACAGUAAGAGCUUGCUCUUACGGGUGGCGAGUGGCGGACGGGUGAGGAAUACAUCGGAAUCUACUUUUUCGUGGGGGAUAACGUAGGGAAACUUACGCUAAUACCGCAUACGACCUACGGGUGAAAGCAGGGGAUCUUCGGACCUUGCGCGAUUGAAUGAGCCGAUGUCGGAUUAGCUAGUUGGCGGGGUAAAGGCCCACCAAGGCGACGAUCCGUAGCUGGUCUGAGAGGAUGAUCAGCCACACUGGAACUGAGACACGGUCCAGACUCCUACGGGAGGCAGCAGUGGGGAAUAUUGGACAAUGGGCGCAAGCCUGAUCCAGCCAUACCGCGUGGGUGAAGAAGGCCUUCGGGUUGUAAAGCCCUUUUGUUGGGAAAGAAAAGCAGCAGGUUAAUACCCCGCUGUUCUGACGGUACCCAAAGAAUAAGCACCGGCGAACUUCGU
rnacentral:rRNA from 1 species